rnacentral:lncRNA from 1 species
GAGAAGCUCGGAUAUUGAUGAAGUCUGAAAGAAGUUCGGAGUAGAGUCAUCCGUGGCUGGAAGAAGUCUGGAAGGGAUUCGGAGAAUAGUUGAUCACUGUAGAAAAUCGACUGAUGGCGGAGUUCAGAGGAUGUUUGGAGCAGUCCGGUAAAUGAAUGGAGAAGCUCAUUGUCAGAGAAGUUCGGAUGGUCAAGGGAGUUCAGAAAGACAUCACACA